UUGGUGGGCGUGGCUUGUUUGUGUUGCUGUGAAUAUGUCGAUGGCCAGUGUUUUUCAUUAGAGCAAGGAUCCACUCUGGAUUCGAUAAUGGGAGGUUAAUGGGAGCUAAUGACAGCUAAUGACGGAGUAGAAAUAGUUUGAAAUAGUUUCAGCACGGACGACCUGUUGCGAAGAAAGAGGCGCUGUCGGUAAGUCAUCGCCCUUUCCAGGAGAGAGUGUUUAUUUACGCUAUCAGCUAUGACGUGAUUUGCUCCAGUGAAUAAAAUACGUUACCAUCAUGUAUAUGGAUUCAGGUGGAUGGGUUAGUAGUGUAGUAGUGCUUCUAUAGUGCUCGGUCGGCUGUAUUAGUUACGUGCGUCCUUUGUUUUCUGUUCUUGUACCGUAUGAUAUUUCUAUAAUGUUACAAUUUUCACGCUUUAUUUUUUUUAAUUGCAUAAUUUGUUUUGAAACUGUUCAAACGUAUUUUAUGAAGGCGAGUUAGAAAUGCGCAUGGCCAUGAUUUGAUCAGCCUAUUGCGACGUAGUGCGCAGUUUCCAGCGUUGUUUCCAACGUUACCCGGAAACAAGCAAGGCAUUUGCUCUCAGCUGCUUCCUUAUAAAAACAUGUCUGGGGGAUUUGUGCCUCAUUUUUCUUCGGAGCCCGAGCAGCAGGGUGGGAUGGAGAGGUGUGCUGGAUGCUUGCUGCAGGAGGAUGUUGCGCACUUCAGUUUACCUCAGGAGAGGACUGGCACAUCCAUCGGCUGUGCUUUGGCCUGACAUCAAAACAUCAAACCCGCUGCAGUCGGUUGACCGAUUGAUUUGCUGACUGCUUCAGUGGCACAAGAUAAAGCAGGUAUUACGUUCAACUUCUUGUGAAAGUGAAUGAUGCUGCAACACGUGCUGACAUCCCCAGAGAGAGCCUGUUUGCAUUCUUCUGAGUGGUAACUGCAGAACCACUGAACCAGCUUCAUCAGUCUGAUUUUUAUAUAAAUGAAGAAUCAUCUGAUCAAGAUUCAAGGGAGUUUUACGCCACAGAAGGAUGCCUUUUGUCAAGAGUACCCUCCUUGGAAGCUGGUUUCAGAUGGUGGCUUAGAGUAUUGUCAUCGAUCUAGCACCAUUUGAAAUCAGUGUUCUUGGGGUGGGAAGUGUAUUUCCCCUGCCAGCAACACGCAGCUGUGACGUGUCACGAGAGGUGUCCGGAGAUAAAGGUAUUACUCCCUGAAGAACUACUCAGUGGGCUACAAACCACCGGUCUCUGGUGAUGUUCUGACCGCUCAAGCUCUUUGUCCUCUCUCCAAGGUUGAUCGAUUUCUUUUGGUGUUCAGAGUCUGCUUUUGUUUCUAGCACCAUUUGAAAUCGGUUACAGUGAAGGACAGAUUAUCUUUAUUUUAGGGACUGUGGAUUGACUGCAGUGAAAUUACAAAUGACUGUUUAAUUAAUUACAAAUGAACCGAAAUACUUUUAUACUGGCUCUCUGAUUGAUAUCUAGAUUGGUGUUUGCAGUGGAGGUAGUAUUCAGAUCCUUGACUUAAGCACACAAUUACAAAUACAUUGUGAGUAAAAGUCACGUUUAUUUAUUUAAGUAAAUGUACAUACGUAUUAUCAGCUAAAUGUGUUUUGUAUGUAAAACUUAAUUUGCAAAGUAACAAAACGGUCAUAAAUGUAGUCGUGUAAAAAGUACUCUCCCUUUAAAAUAUAGCUAUAAGUGUAAAGAAGCAUUACAAUUACAAGUACCUUAUAAUUGUACUUAAUGUAAAUAGUUGUACUUGUGACAUUUAACCACUGAACGUGUCUUUCAACUUGAUCAAGAGAUAAUUUAAACUACUUUCUAGUCAAAUCCACAAGGGGGCACUAUAAUAUAAAAUAUUAGGGGAUUUUUUUUCUCUGUACCCACAGUUGGUCAAUUAUGUUUAGAAUCGCUAUAGACAUUUUAAUUAUUUCUUAUAACUCUUAAAAUAUUUAGGAUGUCUCAGACCCCAGGCAGGUCACUAGUCAAACUUUUAAAAUUACAUAUUUUAUGUCAUACUAUAUUACGUUAUUUGAAUACUGUUCUCUAGUAUUAUGUUGUAAAUAAAUGCUUAUUUUCCACUUGAA